AACGAACGCUGGCGGCAUGCCUAACACAUGCAAGUCGAACGAACCCUUCGGGGUUAGUGGCGCACGGGUGCGUAACGCGUGGGAAUCUGCCCUUUGCUUCGGAAUAACAGUUAGAAAUGACUGCUAAUACCGGAUGAUGUCUUCGGACCAAAGAUUUAUCGGCAAAGGAUGAGCCCGCGUAGGAUUAGGUAGUUGGUGGGGUAAAGGCCUACCAAGCCGACGAUCCUUAGCUGGUCUGAGAGGAUGAUCAGCCACACUGGGACUGAGACACGGCCCAGACUCCUACGGGAGGCAGCAGUGGGGAAUAUUGGACAAUGGGCGCAAGCCUGAUCCAGCAAUGCGGCGUGAGUGAUGAAGGCCUUAGGGUCGUAAAGCUCUUUUACCCGGGAUGAUAAUGACAGUACCGGGAGAAUAAGCCCCGGCUAACUCCGUGCCAGCCGCCGCAGUAA
rnacentral:rRNA from 1 species